AACGAACGCUGGCGGCAGGCCUAACACAUGCAAGUCGAGCGAGCAUUUCGGUGCUAGCGGCGGACGGGUGAGUAACGCGUGGGAACGUGCCCUUUUCUGCGGAAUAGUCCUGGGAAACUGGGGGUAAUACCGCAUACGCCCUAUUGGGGAAAGAUUCAUCGGAGAAGGAUCGGCCCGCGUUGGAUUAGGUAGUUGGUGGGGUAAUGGCCCACCAAGCUGACGAUCCAUAGCUGGUAUGAGAGGAUGAUCAGCCACACUGGGACUGAGACACGGCCCAGACUCCUACGGGAGGCAGCAGUGGGGAAUCUUAGACAAUGGUGGCAACCCUGAUCUGGCCAUGCCGCGUGAGUUAUGAAGGCCUUAGGGUUGUAAAGCUCUGUCAGCUGGGAAGAUAAUGACGGUACCAGCAGAAGAAGCCCCGGCUAACUCCGUG
rnacentral:rRNA from 1 species